GGCUGGGGUUGUUCUGUCCUGGUUCUGUCUGGCCGUGAAGCCGCAGGCCUCCGAGAGCGGGACGAGGAGGUGGGGCCCAGGGGGCUCCGGGGCGGACAGACUGACCGCCGGACAGCCCAGGUGUCGGCACAGCGUGGGCGGUGCCCAGAGCCGCGCCCCGCCCCGUGAUUCCUUCCCGUGCCUUCCCCCGUCUCCUGUCAC
rnacentral:lncRNA from 1 species